GGUAGUACCUCGACCUUACAGAAGAUCACAGCAAAAUAAUACUGUUUUCAAGCAGUAUUGUGUUCCUGUUGGUGAGUAAGCUCCUGGGGGGAUUGGGGAUUGGUCGGCAACGCGCUUGCGAUGCUUCUGGUGUUGCAGGUGUCUAUAAGCUACGGUAAUCGCUUACCAUCAGGUGAGCCGUACGCUUGUUUGCCGACCUAGUGACAAAA
rnacentral:misc_RNA from 1 species